rnacentral:rRNA from 1 species
AAGGUACCCCGGGGAUAACAGGCUAAUCUUCCCCAAGAGUCCAUAUCGACGGGAAGGUUUGGCACCUCGAUGUCGGCUCAUCGCAUCCUGGGGCUGAAGCACGUCCCAAGGGUUGGGCUGUUCGCCCAUUAAAGCGGUACGCGAGCUGGGUUCAGAACGUCGUGAGACAGUUCGGUCCCUAUCCUCCGCAGCCGAAGGAGUGUUGAGGAAGGCUGUCCCUAGUACGAGAGGACCGGGACGGACGUAGCUCUGGUGUGUCUGUUGUCCUGCCAAGGGCAUUGCAGAUUAGCCACCUACGGAAAGGAUAACCGCUGAAAGCAUCUAAGUGGGAAACCUGUUCCAAGAUGAGCGCUCCCUUACGGUUAACGUAGUAAGGCCCGUGACGAGACCAUCACGUUGAUAGGCCAGAGGUGUACGCACGGCAACGUGUUGAGCCGACUGGUACUAAUCGGCCGAGGGCUUGGAUUGA